UACGGAGGAUGCGAGCGUUAUCCGGAUUUAUUGGGUUUAAAGGGUGCGUAGGCGGACGCUUAAGUCAGCGGUAAAAUUGCGGGGCUCAACCUCGUCGAGCCGUUGAAACUGGGUGCCUUGAGUGGGCGAGAAGUACGCGGAAUGCGUGGUGUAGCGGUGAAAUGCAUAGAUAUCACGCAGAACUCCGAUUGCGAAGGCAGCGUACCGGCGCCCAACUGACGCUGAAGCACGAAGGCGUGGGUAUCGAACGGG
rnacentral:rRNA from 1 species